AACGAACGCUGGCGGCAUGCCUAACACAUGCAAGUCGAACGAGACCUUCGGGUCUAGUGGCGCACGGGUGCGUAACGCGUGGGAACCUGCCCUUAGGUUCGGAAUAACUCCCCGAAAGGGGUGCUAAUACCGGAUAAUGUCUUCGGACCAAAGAUUUAUCGCCUUUGGAUGGGCCCGCGUUGGAUUAGCUAGUUGGUAGGGUAAAAGCCUACCAAGGCGACGAUCCAUAGCUGGUCUGAGAGGAAGAUCAGCAACACUGGGACUGAGACACGGCCCAGACUCCUCCGGGAUGCAGGAGUGGGGAAUAGUGGACAACGGGCGGAAGCAUGAUCGAGUUAGGCUGCGUGAGUGAUGUAAGUCGUAGGGUUGAAAAGCUCAUUUACCCGGGAUGAUAAUGACAGUACCGGGAGAAAAAGCUCCGGCUAACUCCGUG
rnacentral:rRNA from 1 species